UAUUCCCAUAACGGAUCAGAGAGUAGAGAGACAGCCCUCUCUGCUUCAGUAUUACCAACCAAGGCUGCUGCUGCUUCUCUGUCAGCCAUGCUGUCUCCCUCCUGCUUGGGACUUGUGAUCUUGUUGAUAUUGAGGGGGACCAAUGGAGACUCAGUGAACCAGACAGAAGGCUCUGUUACCCUCAUAGAGGGGGCAUUUUUAACCCUGAAAUGCAGUUACAAAACUAUCUAUUCAGAUAUUCUUUUCUGGUAUGUUCAAUAUCAAAACAAAGAGCCUGUUCUCCUCCUGAAAAGCUCAUCGGAUAACCAGGAGGUGAGGAACAGAGGUUUUUGGGCCAAGCUUGUGAAGACAGACAGAACUUUCCACCUGAAGAAAUCUUCAGUGCAAGUGUCAGACUCGGCUGUGUACUACUGCACUCUGGGAGACACAGUGAGGGAGGCUGCAGGGGGAGCUGAGCACAAACCCAAAGGGCUCACAUGGGGCUGAAGGGGACCAGCCGGGUUAUUCUAGGAGCCACAUUGACCCUCAGUGUCUGUUAUCAGGAAACAUACAGGUAUUUGCC